GGCCAGUGAAGAAAUCCAUGCGGGAGAAGGCUGUGGAGCGGAGGAAUGUUAACAAAGAGCACAACAGCAAUUUCAAAGCUGGAUAUAUCCCCAUCGAUGAGGACCGGCUCCAUAAGACUGGGCUGAGGGGGCGAAAGGGCAACUUAGCCAUCUGCGUGAUCGUCCUCCUGUUUAUCCUGGCCGUCAUCAAUCUACUCGUGAGUAUGUGACACACUGUCCUCUCUCUGGAGGUACCUUGGAAGAAAUUUUUAUCUUUUUGCCAUGAGGUCAUAGAUUCUGCUUACAUACUCUGUUUUGGGAUAGUCCUAUCUUCUGCUCAUGUGCUGUGUUUUGGGACAGUUUGUCAUCUCCUGCUUCUCAAUAUGUGUUUUUUAUCUCUUGUUGGACUUGAGUUAGUGCUUGAACAUAAAAAAACCUAAUAGGCUUCUCUCUCCAGUCCCACAAAAAUAAGUAAACAAAGCUG
rnacentral:lncRNA from 1 species